UGGGGAAUAUUGCACAAUGGGGGAAACCCUGAUGCAGCGACGCCGCGUGAGCGAGGAAGUAUUUCGGUAUGUAAAGCUCUAUCAGCAGGGAAGAAGAAAUGACGGUACCUGACCAAGAAGCACCGGCUAAAUACGUGCCAGCAGCCGCGGUAAUACGUAUGGUGCAAGCGUUAUCCGGAUUUACUGGGUGUAAAGGGAGCGCAGGCGGUACGGCAAGUCUGGUGUGAAAGCCCGGGGCUCAACCCCGGUACUGCAUUGGAAACUGCCGGACUAGAGUGUCGGAGGGGUAAGUGGAAUUCCUAGUGUAGCGGUGAAAUGCGUAGAUAUUAGGAGGAACACCAGUGGCGAAGGCGGCUUACUGGACGAUGACUGACGCUGAGGCUCGAAAGCGUGGGGAGCA
rnacentral:rRNA from 1 species